rnacentral:misc_RNA from 1 species
UCCGGUUUGGCACCGGCAGUCCUCCCAGAGUCCUCGGCUUGACCCGGUAGCAACUGGGAGCGGGGGUUGCGCUCGUUGCGGGACUUAACCCAACAUCUCACGACACGAGCUGACGACAGCCAUGCACCACCUGUACACCUGCCCCGAAGGGCUGCCGUAUUUCUACGACAUUCAGGUGCAUGUCAAGCCCUGGUAAGGUUCUUCGCGUUGCGUCGAAUUAAACCACAUGCUCCACCGCUUGUGCGGGCCCCCGUCAAUUCCUUUGAGUUUCAACCUUGCGGUCGUACUCCCCAGGCGGGGUACUUCCUGCGUUAGCGCCGGCACCCAGAGGGUCGCUCCCCCAGGCACCUAGUACCCAUCGUUUACAGCCAGGACUAC